rnacentral:rRNA from 1 species
AUUGAACGCUGGCGGCAGGCCUAACACAUGCAAGUCGAAUGGUAACAGGAAACAGCUUGCUGUUUCGCUGACGAGUGGCGGACGGGUGAGUAAUGUCUGGGAAACUGCCUGAUGGAGGGGGAUAACUACUGGAAACGGUAGCUAAUACCGCAUAACGUCGCAAGACCAAAGAGGGGGACCUUCGGGCCUCUUGCCAUCAGAUGUGCCCAGAUGGGAUUAGCUAGUAGGUGGGGUAACGACUCACCUAGGCGACGAUCCCUAGCUGGUCUGAGAGGAUGACCAGCCACACUGGAACUGAGACACGGUCCAGACUCCUACGGGAGGCAGCAGUGGGGAAUAUUGCACAAUGGGCGCAAGCCUGAUGCAGCCAUGCCGCGUGUAUGAAGAAGGCCUUCGGGUUGUAAAGUACUUUCAGCGGGGAGGAAGGGAGUAAAGUUAAUACCUUUGCUCAUUGACGUUACCCGCAGAAGAAGCACCGGCUAACUCCGUG